rnacentral:misc_RNA from 1 species
GUGAAUCAUCGAAUUUUUGAACGCAAAUUGCACUCUCCUCGGAGAGUAUGCCUGUUUGAGGGUCAGUCUAUAAAAAAUCGACAUCGUUGCUGUUACGCGGUGGAGGUUGAAGGAAAUUGGGUCAUCUUAAAUCAUUUGGAUUUAAGCGGCUUAAAAUUUUCUUUAGGUUCCAUGAACGCUUCUAAGAUC